CCCAAACACACAUAUUGAAGAGAGCAGAAGGUCACCUCUACCCCAGAAGAGAUGGGUAUUUCGGGAAAAUUUGAGGAGAAAGAGCUUAGGACCUUGAAGGCAUGUUCAACGUUCAGAAUCUGGAUCGAGGUUGGUAAGAACUCGAUUGAAAGAUAAAUUCAACACAGAAGCUGGUCCUCCGUUCCUUGAAUUAGUCUCCUCUGGCAAGCUAAGAAGAGACAGGAAGCUAUAGCAGCUUACACCCCCCUCUGCAUUCUGCAUUCUCCAAUUCUUGCCUCUUGCACAUUUCUGAAUUCCUCAAUCCACCGAUGUUGGCCUUUAGCUCCCAAAGCUUUGGAGUUUUCUUCCUAAACAUUCGUUUCUCCUGAUCUCUUAUUUGAUCAUGGCUGGGCUAGCAGUUAUUGUCCAUCCUGUACUGCCCUAAGGAGACAGUGAGCUGCCUUAUUGAAUCACUGAUAUGUUGGGAUAUAUGGACUUU